GGGUUGUGAGGUUAAGCGACUAAGCGUACACGGUGGAUGCCCUGGCAGUCAGAGGCGAUGAAGGACGUGCUAAUCUGCGAUAAGCGUCGGUGAGGUGAUAUGAACCGUUAUAACCGGCGAUUUCCGAAUGGGGAAACCCAGUGUGUUUCGACACACUAUCAUUAACUGAAUCCAUAGGUUAAUGAGGCGAACCGGGGGAACUGAAACAUCUAAGUACCCCGAGGAAAAGAAAUCAACCGAGAUUCCCCCAGUAGCGGCGAGCGAACGGGGAGGAGCCCAGAGCCUGAAUCAGUGUGUGUGUUAGUGGAAGCGUCUGGAAAGGCGUGCGAUACAGGGUGACAGCCCCGUACACAAAAAUGCACAUAUUGUGAGCUCGAUGAGUAGGGCGGGACACGUGGUAUCCUGUCUGAAUAUGGGGGGACCAUCCUCCAAGGCUAAAUACUCCUGACUGACCGAUAGUGAACCAGUACCGUGAGGGAAAGGCGAAAAGAACCCCGGCGAGGGGAGUGAAAAAGAACCUGAAACCGUGUACGUACAAGCAGUGGGAGCCUCUUAAUGGGGUGACUGCGUACCUUUUGUAUAAUGGGUCAGCGACUUAUAUUCUGUAGCAAGGUUAACCGAAUAGGGGAGCCGAAGGGAAACCGAGUCUUAACUGGGCGUUAAGUUGCAGGGUAUAGACCCGAAACCCGGUGAUCUAGCCAUGGGCAGGUUGAAGGUUGGGUAACACUAACUGGAGGACCGAACCGACUAAUGUUGAAAAAUUAGCGGAUGACUUGUGGCUGGGGGUGAAAGGCCAAUCAAACCGGGAGAUAGCUGGUUCUCCCCGAAAGCUAUUUAGGUAGCGCCUCGUGAAUUCAUCUCCGGGGGUAGAGCACUGUUUCGGCAAGGGGGUCAUCCCGACUUACCAACCCGAUGCAAACUGCGAAUACCGGAGAAUGUUAUCACGGGAGACACACGGCGGGUGCUAACGUCCGUCGUGAAGAGGGAAACAACCCAGACCGCCAGCUAAGGUCCCAAAGUCAUGGUUAAGUGGGAAACGAUGUGGGAAGGCCCAGACAGCCAGGAUGUUGGCUUAGAAGCAGCCAUCAUUUAAAGAAAGCGUAAUAGCUCACUGGUCGAGUCGGCCUGCGCGGAAGAUGUAACGGGGCUAAACCAUGCACCGAAGCUGCGGCAGCGACACUAUGUGUUGUUGGGUAGGGGAGCGUUCUGUAAGCCUGUGAAGGUGGCCUGUGAGGGUUGCUGGAGGUAUCAGAAGUGCGAAUGCUGACAUAAGUAACGAUAAAGCGGGUGAAAAGCCCGCUCGCCGGAAGACCAAGGGUUCCUGUCCAACGUUAAUCGGGGCAGGGUGAGUCGACCCCUAAGGCGAGGCCGAAAGGCGUAGUCGAUGGGAAACAGGUUAAUAUUCCUGUACUUGGUGUUACUGCGAAGGGGGACGGAGAAGGCUAUGUUGGCCGGGCGACGGUUGUCCCGGUUUAAGCGUGUAGGCUGGUUUUCCAGGCAAAUCCGGAAAACCAAGGCUGAGGCGUGAUGACGAAGCACUACGGUGCUGAAGCGACAAAUGCCCUGCUUCCAGGAAAAGCCUCUAAGCAUCAGGUAACAUCAAAUCGUACCCCAAACCGACACAGGUGGUCAGGUAGAGAAUACCAAGGCGCUUGAGAGAACUCGGGUGAAGGAACUAGGCAAAAUGGUGCCGUAACUUCGGGAGAAGGCACGCUGAUAUGUAGGUGAAGCGACUUGCUCGUGGAGCUGAAAUCAGUCGAAGAUACCAGCUGGCUGCAACUGUUUAUUAAAAACACAGCACUGUGCAAACACGAAAGUGGACGUAUACGGUGUGACGCCUGCCCGGUGCCGGAAGGUUAAUUGAUGGGGUUAGCGGCAACGCGAAGCUCUUGAUCGAAGCCCCGGUAAACGGCGGCCGUAACUAUAACGGUCCUAAGGUAGCGAAAUUCCUUGUCGGGUAAGUUCCGACCUGCACGAAUGGCGUAAUGAUGGCCAGGCUGUCUCCACCCGAGACUCAGUGAAAUUGAACUCGCUGUGAAGAUGCAGUGUACCCGCGGCAAGACGGAAAGACCCCGUGAACCUUUACUAUAGCUUGACACUGAACAUUGAGCCUUGAUGUGUAGGAUAGGUGGGAGGCUUUGAAGUGUGGACGCCAGUCUGCAUGGAGCCGACCUUGAAAUACCACCCUUUAAUGUUUGAUGUUCUAACGUUGGCCCGUAAUCCGGGUUGCGGACAGUGUCUGGUGGGUAGUUUGACUGGGGCGGUCUCCUCCUAAAGAGUAACGGAGGAGCACGAAGGUUGGCUAAUCCUGGUCGGACAUCAGGAGGUUAGUGCAAUGGCAUAAGCCAGCUUGACUGCGAGCGUGACGGCGCGAGCAGGUGCGAAAGCAGGUCAUAGUGAUCCGGUGGUUCUGAAUGGAAGGGCCAUCGCUCAACGGAUAAAAGGUACUCCGGGGAUAACAGGCUGAUACCGCCCAAGAGUUCAUAUCGACGGCGGUGUUUGGCACCUCGAUGUCGGCUCAUCACAUCCUGGGGCUGAAGUAGGUCCCAAGGGUAUGGCUGUUCGCCAUUUAAAGUGGUACGCGAGCUGGGUUUAGAACGUCGUGAGACAGUUCGGUCCCUAUCUGCCGUGGGCGCUGGAGAACUGAGGGGGGCUGCUCCUAGUACGAGAGGACCGGAGUGGACGCAUCACUGGUGUUCGGGUUGUCAUGCCAAUGGCACUGCCCGGUAGCUAAAUGCGGAAGAGAUAAGUGCUGAAAGCAUCUAAGCACGAAACUUGCCCCGAGAUGAGUUCUCCCUGAGACUUAGAGUCUCCUGAAGGAACGUUGAAGACGACGACGUUGAUAGGCCGGGUGUGUAAGCGCAGCGAUGCGUUGAGCUAACCGGUACUAAUGAACCGUGAGGCUUAACCUUACAACGCCGAAG
rnacentral:rRNA from 1 species